UUUGUCAUAAAGUUGGUUCUCCAAAUCACGGAAUUUAGAUUGUACUCCUUCACGAGUUAGAUCAUCGGUUGCAGGUUGCAGUAACUUUUACCUUCCAUUGGAGGUGGAAAAAAAAAAGUAAUACUCGAUUAGGUUAGUAAUACUUAACUCAAACGGCUCGUGAGCCAUAUCGAGUUUUUUUUUUAUAUUUUCAUAUAAUUAAAUUACAUUAUUUCUUUUAAUAUAUUAUUAACUUUAAGCUUAAUUAUUAAACUGAUCUCGGACUCGAGUAUCAAGUUCCAAAUUUAGAAAUCGAGCUUGAACCUGAUAGUAUUUGAAUUUAACUUGGCUAGAUUACACUACAUAAAACUCAAUUGAGAUUUGAUGUCUGGUUAUGUAUCGGAAAGACAUAAAAGAAGCAUGAAAUCUCAAAUUCAUUACUCAACAAAGAGAAGGGGAGGCUAUUAGUGAUGAUAGUGGUGUGUUUCAUUAAGUCUUAUCACCUUUGCAAAACAAAGUUGCCUUGCUUUUUCUAAGAGAUAUUACCACUAGACAGGGACCAUUUUGGAAAUAAAAACCAGAUUUUGAGGCUCAGACAAACAAAUUUUCCAAAUAAAUAAAUGAAUAUUAAUAGAAGUCGGUUCCUUCAAACUUGCAGAUUUAUUAAAAAUAAAUUGAAUAUGAAUUAGUAAGUUCGAUUAAGAGACUUACAUUAUUUAUCCUCUUUUGGUUGGAUCAAUGUAAAUUUCCACUAUUUCUGGCACGGAUGACUUGAUAAACUCUUCUUCAUUUUUUGUUAAUGAUUCUAGUCGGUACCGGAGCUCCCUCGGUUUCCUUAUUCCUUUUCUUUCUUGUCUCAAUAGGUCAUCGGAAAAAAAGUUCAGAUUUCUUGUCUGGCUUCCAUUCGACAUAGACUGAUGCUCGAAUUCUGCCACGCCAUAACCCAUCUUCUUGUUCGGAUCUGAGAAAUUUAACUCAGAUUUCCCAAUCAGAACAACAGAAAAA
rnacentral:lncRNA from 1 species